rnacentral:rRNA from 1 species
UACAGGGGGUGCAAACGUUGCUCGGAAUCAUUGGGCGUAAAGCGCACGUAGGCGGUUCGUUAUGUCGGAUGUGAAAGCCCUUGGCUUAACCGAGGAAGUGCAUCCGAAACUGGCGAGCUAGAGUACGAAAGAGGAUCGCGGAAUUCCCGGUGUAGAGGUGAAAUUCGUAGAUAUCGGGAGGAACACCGGUGGCGAAGGCGGCGAUCUGGGUCGAUACUGACGCUGAGGUGCGAAAGCGUGGGGAGCAACAGGG